UCCUACACCAAGUCCACACAGAUCGACACCACAAGCCCUCAUCCUCCGCUGCCCAUCUGCCAAAGCAAACAAGAACACACAAGACAGUUCAGGCAGGCAUGGAUGCAGAGUUCACCUGAGUUGGGAGGGACUGACUAGCCAACCAUGCAAAUGCAAGCAGGGCGGAGAAUUAGUAGCCGAUGUCGGCGCCGUCGUCGACCAAGGUCGCCGUUGAUGCCGGGGAUAGGUAUCGAUCACACGGUGUUAUGGGCCCUGGUCAAGAUCGCAGGAGGAGACGCUUCAAUCUGGCGAGAUCCCGGCUCUCGUUGCUGCUCUCUCGGAGGUGGAUCUCAUCUGGGAUAAUAUAUAUGGCAGAAUUUCCAAGGAAAUGCACGGUUGCCUUGUCGGCUGAGUGUAACUUCCAGGUCGCAACCUUUGUACGAGCAGCCGAAUGAGCAGGAACGAGUACACAUCACAUUUUAUUGACUCAUGCGUGGGUGGUGUAAACAACGGAAAUGAUUUGCGUACGACGAUGCAUGUCCGAAGCACGUACGACGAUGCAUCCGCAUCGUGAGCUAGCUAACCCGUUGAAAGACAUACGGCUUGAUUUGAUGGUCGUACGUGGUUCGGAUGAGAAUCGUCGUACGUGUAGCACUGCUCAGUCUUGGGUGGUGUAAACAAAGUCUUCUUAGGGUAUGUACAAUGGUUGAUAAGAUAGUUUUAUUUCAAGUUUUACAUGUAAUUUAUAGAUGAUAAAAAAAGUCUUACAAUGAAUCACCUCUUAAUUGUUCUCUCUUAAAUAAGAAAAGACAAAUUUUUUUUAUGAGUUAUCUUUCCUCCACCUCAUCAUUUAUCUUACAUGACACUACUAAGAUAGCAUCAUUGUACAUGUCCUUAUGUGACAGGAAAAAAAAACCAACAGCCCUACCAGGAAAUAAAACAAACGUGUGAAGCACGUGUUGUGCAUGAGAGUGAUUUUGUUUUCUUAACUCAUGCCUUUUGGUUUAUUGCACUAUCUUUCUUUUAACACGCAAGCGUUUAUAUACACGUACAUAGACUGAGCCGGCAUAUCAUGAAAUUUAUGAAUAAAUUCAGAAAUAAAUGCGAACAUCAGGAUUUAAACCCUGAUGAGCUAUGAAUAUCACAAUCUCUCUAACCAUCCAACCACAGACUGGUUCGCAUUGUACUCUUCGUCGUACUAUCUUUUCAAUGUGUUACUUGUUGUCCUUAAUAAUUAUCAUAUCUAAGAUGCCCUUUGGGUGUGUUUCGUACUAUGAAAAAGGGUCCUGCAUGGAUAGAGAGAGCGUGUGCUGACGAGACAGCAUAAAAUGUUUCACCAGUUAGUUAAUAGAGUGUCACAUAAAUAAAAUACAUAGUCCGGGUAGGAAAAAUACUCCACGAUGCUUGAGUGCCCUUGACCAAAGCCUAGCGCCCUCGAUCGCCCCAUCCUUUCCUCCCUGGCUACUACCUCAGAUCACCGCCAAUCCGCAUGACUUCCAAGGACGACAGCGGCGAAGCUCCCUCCUUGAGCAACACCUUGGUACUUGUACGCCUCUUCCUACUGAGCGACGUCGUUGUGCUCUCCGUUGGUUCCUUGGUGGUUGCGUUUUUCUGUUGCCAUUUUUGUUGGCGAUGCUCCGCCCCUCCUUUGGACGGAGCAUUGCCAGUAUAUGGACUUUUUUUUAGAAUAACUGCAUAUUUUUUAACCAGCAAAUGUUACAAACAUAGCACAUACAUAACAUCGCUGAGAGAGCACGAGAGACCAAAGGUGUCCCAACACAAAUGCAAAAAGGUCUCAAAAAGGAGAAAAUACAAUCUGAACCCCCGGGGGCCUUAAUGCAUGAAGAACCAACACCAGUCGCUGACCGCCGCCAUCGACGACGAGACGAACGGCGAAGGAGGACGCCAGAAACCAUCAAACCCUGAGCCGAGGGCACACCAUCACUGAAAAGGGCUUUCUGAGUCGAAGAUGAGCCCGGUCGCAAACGGUGAGGCAUAGCCGUUGUGGCACGUCGACCGGGGAAAGUCCCCGUGCAAAUCCUCGGCUCCAGUUUCGGCACCUCCGUUGGACGAAGUCGAAGGAGAAUUACCAGAUCUACCGCCACAAACCACCACGAGAGUGUUGAGUCACCAAGUCUCUCGCCAACAGCCGCGGUCACCGCACGGGCCGGUGACCAACGCUGGCCCGAGCACUCCUAUACAAGACUCUGUCGGCUUCCCAUCGACACUGAAGAACGUGUCGAUGUGGCAGAGACGAAGCCGAGGGAACAAAACUCCCGAUGUCCCCUGCUUGACCAAAUCCGAGCACGCCAAGCCUGUCGCCGCACACGUCGGCCAGGCCAAACCUAACCUCACCGCCCAAGACGAGCGGCAGGAAUCUACGCCGAGCAGCGCCCGAGGAAACACCACCGAGACGGAGGCGGAACCGGAGGACAAAAGGCACGAGCUGGGCAGCCGUCGCCGCCUCGUCGACCCAGCCCCACCACCCAGAUAUCGCCAGCCACGCGAAACCUGCGAGCAGACCGAAGCUCCCAGCCUUCUCGCCCACCGCAACGCAUACCACCGCGUUGGGGAGAGAGCAGGGGCACCCUUAUUAGCCGCACUCGCCAUUCCCACCGGAGAUGCGAAAACGACCAGCCACCACCAAGCUACAAAGCCUACCUAGACUACACCUGUACAAGCCAUGCCCCCGGAUCCGACGACCCCAACCUGCACCGAAGAGCAUGAAGUCCCGGGGGAGAUGGCGUCGCCGGAUCCAAAGCCGGCAAAGGAGUCGCCUCUCACUAGUGGAAAACGGGCCUUUGGCCAGGACCCUUUAGUCCCGGCCUGCCUCUGGGCCGGGACUAAAGGCCCGGCCACGUCGCCCCAAUUCUCAAUGCCUCCCUCGAGGCUUUAGUCCCGGCCCGUAAGGAGCCUUUAGUCCCGGUUCAUGUUCCAAACCGGGACUAAAGGGCUACGCGGCGGGUAGUGGUGGUGGCAACCGUUCGUAUCCCCCUUUAGUCCCGGUUGGUGGCUCAACCCGGGACUAAAUCCCUAACCCGUGCCCUGCCGUAGUGGUGGUAACCGUUGGUAUACCUCUUUAGUCCCGGUUGGUGGCUCAACCCGGGACUAAAUCCCUAACACGUGGCCUGCCGUAGUGGUGGUAACCGUUGGUAUACCUCUUUAGUCCCGGUUGGUGGCUCACCCCGGGACUAAAUCCCUAACCCGUGCCCUGCCGUAGUGGUGGUAACCGUUGGUAUACCUCUUUAGUCCCGGUUGGUGGCUCAACCCGGGACUAAAGGCCCAAACGGUUUGCAUCCCGCGUCGUUUCGGGCGAUGAAAAGCACGAACCAAAGCAGAGUCGCCAUUUCUCUGUUUCUUCUUCUCUCUCGCUCUCGCUCUGUUCUUCUCCUCUCUUCUUCCAUCAUGCCAACUCGCUUUGGAGAGGUGCUCGCACAUGGCAAGACCAAGCUCGAUGUCGUGUACACGAACGAGAGCAGGGAGAUGCCGUAUUUUCUUGAACAGUUGAAGGAACGAUGGCUUGACGCCGCAAUGGAUCAUGAGAAGUUCUUGGGGCUUGAUCUGGAGUACACGGCCGAUCAACGCGGUGUUGCCGUCAUCCAACUAUGCUUCGCACACCAUGUCUUGAUCUUCCAAUGGGCGAGGUAAGUUUUGAGGCUUUCUUUGAUCCAAGGUAAUGACAUUGUAAGUUUAUUUGUUUCAAUCAUAGUUGGUUCCCUUCAAAUAGUUGUAGUGAAACAAUUUUGAUUAGUUGAAGGGGAACACAAUCUGAUUGGAAUAGUGUUCCAUAAUCUGAAAAAUCGUAUUAGAAUCAACUAGUGUUUAAUAUGUUCCAUUGGAAUCAUAGUUGGUUCGCUUCAAAUAGUUGUAGUGAAACAAUUUUGAUUAGUUGAAGGGAACACAAUCUGAUUGGAAUAGUGUUUCACAAUCUGAAAAAUCUGAUUGGUUCAAUAUGUUCCAUUGAAAUCAUAGUUGUAGUGAUACAAUUUUAUGCGGUGUUAUUUGAUCCAAGGUUAUGAAAAUUGCAUAUAGCUAGUGAUCUCUCUAGGUUCCAUUUGAUAGCAAUAUGAUAUGUCAUAGUCAUGAAAAUUGCAUAUAGCUAGUGAUCUCUCUAGGUUCCAUUGGAUAGCUAUAGUGAUCUCUCUAGGUUCCAUUGCAUAUGUUCUAUUUGAAUCCUAAAGAUAAUUUUCUCUUUAGUUGUAGUGAAACAUGUUUCCUUAUUGCAGCAGUAUGUAACAUUUUCCAUUUUAAUUUGUUUCUGUUGCAGUAGUGACAAGCAUUGUCCAGAACUCAUGGACUUCCUGCGCAGCGGCAUCACUUUUGCUACCGUUGACAUAACGAACGACAAGCUGAAGAUGAGGUACAGCUUCGGUAUUGAGAUACCAACUGGUUGCCUCAUUGAUCUCCAAACGGUAUUCAGGCUUCGACAUGUCAGGACUUCGAUGGCUCAUAUGGCAGUUGCCUUGAUCGACGAGGAAUAUGGUGAUAUGAAGACCAAUUUUCCCAAAGUCUCAGCACAAACUUUGGGAGAAGGCCCCACUUGAUCGUAUCAACAUUGAGUAUGCAACAAAAGAUGCAUACGUUUCAUACGAGUUGUACCGCAAGAUUCGAGUCGUCAACUAUGGCCAGCGUCACCUCGAAUAAGGUGGACAUUCUGAUUCGAGUCGUCAACUAUGAAAACUAAUUCCCGAACACCAAACGAGGCAUCACGUUAAUCUUCCGAACACCUAAACCCUAAAAUCCUAAAACCCAAAAAUAAUUUCAUUCAAAAAAAACCCAAAAAUAAGCAAAAUCUAAAACUCUUUAGUCCCGGUCCGUGUAACGAGCCGGGACUAAAGGGCCUGCCCCUGAGGCGCUACGAGGCGCCCACGUGGAGCAUCUUUAGUCCCGGCUUGUAACAGGGCCGGGACUAAAGGUUAGGCGUCCCGGUUGGUGAACCGGGACUAAAGUCCCUUACGGGCCGGGGCUAAAGGCCCCGUCUCCACUAGUGUCUGGCAGUAUAUGGACUUGUGGUAACCUUUGUUAGGACUUAGGUGCUCCAUCCCUGUUCCUCACCUCUCACCUGAUUUGGACGCCCACCGGUUUGGUCUGGCCUAGUAUCUUUUUCCAGUCAUUUCUCGGUUAGAUGCGGAAGAUUUGCCGCAUGAUCUAGCGAUUGCAUCUGACGUUUUUCUUGACUGGUGAUUAAAGUUGGUCGUUAAGGUCUUGUUGAACGUACGUGUGGACCAAAAUAUGUUUUUAUCUUUGUGACAAGUACAAUGACCGCUGUUGUAUUUAUCUCUCAUCUCAACCCUCAACUAAAUUCUAUGUGAAUUCCUAGUAUCUCUUGCAAUCCCUGGUAUCCAUCAAUUGGUUCUGUCGCGCUCCUAAGUUCUCCUUCCCUCUCCGAUCAUAUAUCUCUUUAGUCGAAUCAUGGCAAGGUCAUGUCAAGACCCAAAUGUUUUUUCAAAAAGAUAGUAUAAACACACACACUCACAUCCAUGAACGCACAUACGCACGUUCUAUUCCUAUAAGCACAUUUGAAAGGCUGAGCCGGCGGAUGUUAAGAUUGACAAAGUCACAACAAACGUCACAUCACUCUAUGGACAGAAACAUUGCCUCCCAUUGAGAGUACAUUUCGCGUUUAUCACACACCAAAGCAUCAACAUUUAAUUCCUUGUGUUAGGAAUUAAUUAAAUGUAUUAAUUAAUGGAAUAAUCCAUGCGUUGCCGGUUGCCUUGAUUUAGCAACCGUUCCUUGUAACCGACUCUGUACUCGGGGUAUAAAUACCCCGCAUCUUCAAUCAAUAAUAAUUGUUCCAUCAUUCUGUCACUUUCACUGUUUUACACGUUAUCAGCACUCGCUCUGCCGAGAGCGACAGAGAGCCACGAGAAAGGUCAGAAUGGCAGGAAGAGAGUUGUCUGCACUUGCUUUUGCUUUCGCACGCUUCCUGCAGAAAGAGAACACCCGCUUCCCUCGCACUCAGCGCCACCGCAUUGCACGUCGCCAUCAGGGUCUUGGUGCAAGGAAUGGCCCUCAUCGCCGUUCCUUCACCAGGAACCACCGCCAGAACCGGAGUGGCCCUCAUCGCCGCUUCUUCGCCGGGAACCACCGCCAGAACCACCGCCGUGGGUAUGCACGUCGAGGCAACCAACCACUUCGUGGGCGUGCACCAACGGUGCACCAGGCUGGAUCCUCGACUCCGGCCACCGCUCCACUACAACAGGCUGGUGUUGUAGAUAUGCCCUAGAGGCAAUAAUAAAUUAGUUAUUAUUAUAUUUCUUAGNNNNNNNNNNNNNNNNNNNNNNNNNNNNNNNNNNNNNNNNNNNNNNNNNNNNNNNNNNNNNNNNNNNNNNNNNNNNNNNNNNNNNNNNNNNNNNNNNNNNUGGAUAAUAAACUAUUAUCUUGAUACAGGAAUUAUAAUAAUAACUAUGCAUUUAUUAUUGCCUCUAGGGCAUAAUUCCAACAGUGCCUUCUAGUUGCACUGUCUGUACCCAGACAGUUUAUAACUCUUCCGCUGGCUUGUAUUUGUAUGACUGCUAUUAUGGGUCGAGAGACCUUAAUGUGUAAUAUUAUGUGUGUGGCUCUUNNNNNNNNNNNNNNNNNNNNNNNNNNNNNCUUCCGAGCCUCUUAAAUAAAGCUUGUAUGUUUAUGGUUAUGUUGUGAUGCCAUCGAUGUAUCUAUACAUAUCGGUAUGCCAUGCGUACGUGUGUCUUACUUGGUAUGUAUGGGGUUCGAAUACCUAGUCGUGAACUUUAGUAGCACUCCUUACAAGGAAAUGCCCCUUUGUGAUCCAACGAGCCUUGGUAGUUCGCUACUGCUCCGGACACAUUGGUUGACCGGCAUGUGUCCUUCUUAGCUGCUGUGUCUGUCCCCUUUGGGGAAAUUUCACGCGAUGUAAUGGAGUCCUUGUAGCUUGCUACGACUCGUCUACAUUCGCCGAUGACCGACACCUGCUUUGUUGGGUCAUGUAUGCCUGUCCUUGUGCGGUACUGCCACUUUGGUUUAUGACUAGACAUGUCGAUCCGGGUUCUUUGACAUUGGAUUGCUAGCGACACUAUCGCAUACGUGAGUCAAAAGACGCAAACGGUCCCGGCUAAGGUAAGGCUGCAGCCGUGGAGUUAACCGUGCGUGAGACCACAAAGGGAUGCGAUGUGUUACAGGCUAGAUUCCUAUGGCUUAGGAUCGAGGUCCCGACACUUUAAAAUAUCCAUUUGUACUUAACGGUCUUACGACCAUCAAGUAGUUCUUCCAAAGUCUACACUUUGUUUUCAUACAUGGAUCCUCUCUCGGAUUUCAUGGCCUCCAGCCAUUUAUCGGAAUUCGAGCCCACCAUCGCUUCUCCAUAGCUCGUAGGUUCAUUGUUGUUCAACAACAUGACCUCCAAGACAGGGUCACCGUACCACUCUGUAGCAGUACGCGACCUUGUCGACCUACGAGGUUUGUAGUAGCUUGAUCAGAAGCUUAAUGAUCACAAUCAUUAGUUUCCACUUCAAUUUGCGUAGGCGCCACAUGAACAAAUUCCUGCGCCCUGCUACACACUAGUUGAAGUGAUGGUUCAAUAACCUCAUCAAGUUCCACCAUCCUCCCACUCAGUUCUUUCGAGAGAAACUUUUCCUCGAGAAAGGACCCGUUUCUAGAAACAAACACUUUGCUUCCGGAUCUGAGAUAGGAGGUAUACCCAACUAUUUUGGGUGUCCUAUGAAGAUGCGUUUAUCCGCUCUGGGUUCGAGCUUAUCAUGCUGAAACUUUUCCACAUGAGCAUCGCAGCCCCAAACUUUUAAGAAACGACAGCUUAGGUUUCUCCAAACCAUAGUUCAUACGGUGUCAUCUCAACGGAAUUACGUGGUACCCUAUUUAAAGUGAAUGUGGUUGUCUCUAAUGCCUAACCCAAAACGAUAGUGGUAUUUCGAUAAGAGACAUCAUAGUAUGCACCAUAUCAAAUAGGGCGCGGCUAUGACAUUCAGACAAACCAUCACACUAUGGUGUUCUAGGUGGCAUGAACUGCAAAACAAUUUCCACAUUGUCUUAACCGUGUACCAAAACUCGCAGCUCAGAUAUUCAUCUCUAUGAUCAUAUCGUAGACAGUUUAUCCUCUUGUCACGAUGAUCUUCACUCUGGAAUAGCUUUGAACUUUUCAAUAUUUCAGACUUGUGAUUCAUCAAGUAAAUACUCAUGUAUCUACUCAAAUCAUCAGUGAAGUGAGAACAUAACGAUAUCCACUGCGUGCCUUAGCACUCAUUGGACUGCACAUAUCAAAAAUCUAUUGCAUCCAACAAGUUACUUUCUUGUUCCAUGUGGUAUGAUUUUGCAUGUCUCAAGUGAGUUAAAAUCAAGUGAUUCCAAACGAUCCAUCUGCAUGGAGUUUCUUCAUGCGUUUAUACCAACAGGUAUGGUUUCCAUGUCUCAAACGUUUCAAAAAUGAGUGAGUACAAAGAUCCAUAAGCAUGGAGUUUCUUCAUGCAUUUUACACCAACAUGACUCAAGCGGCAGUGCCACAAGUAAGUGGUUCUAUCAUUAUUACUUUGUAUCUUUUGGCACCACUAUUAUGAAUAUGUGUAACACUACGAUCGAGAUUCAAUAAAUCAUUGAAGGUAAUUAUUCAAGAAAAUAGAAUAACCAUUAUUCUCUUUAAAUGAAUAAUCGUAUUGCAAUAAACACGAUCCAAUCAUGUUCAUGCUCAAAGCAAACACCAAAUAACAAUUAUUUAGGUUUAACACCAAUCCCGAUGGUAGAGGGAGCGUGCGAUGUUUUGAUCACAUCAACCUUGGAAACACUUUCAACACGUAUCGUCACCUCGCCUUUAGCUAGUCUCCGUUUAUUUCGUAGCUUUUAUUUCGAGUUACCAAUCACUUAGCAACCGAACCGGUAUCUAAUACCCUCGUGCUACUAGGAGUACUAGUAAAGUACACAUCAAUAUCAUGUAUAUCAAAUAUACUUCUGUUGACUUCGCCAGCCUACUCAUCUACCAAGUAUAUAGGGUAGCUCCGCCUCAGUGACCGUUCACCUCAUAACAAAAGCACUUAAUCUCGGGUUUGGGUUCAAUCUUGGGUUUCUUCAUUAGAGCAGCAACUGGUUUGUCGUUUCAUGAAGUAUCUCUUCUAGCCCUUGCCCUUCUUGAAACUAGUGGUUUUACUAACCAUCAACAAUUGAUGCUCCUUCUUGAUUUCUACUUUCGUAGUGUCAAACAUUGUGAAUCGCUCAAGGAUCAUCAUAUAUAUCCUUGAUAUGUUAUAGUUCAUCACGAAGCUCUAGCAGCUUGGUGGCAGUGACUUUGGAGAACCAUCACUAUCUCAUCUGGAAGAUUAACUCCCACUUGAUUCAAGCGAUUGUUAUACUGAGCACAUGCUCAACGAUUGAGCUUUUCUCCUUUACUUUGUAGACAAAGAAUCUUGUUGGAGGUCUCAUACCUUUCAACAAGGGCACGAGCAUGAAAUCUCAAUUUCAUAUCUUAGAACAUCUUUUAUGUUCCGUGACGUUUCAAAAUGUCUUCGGCGUCUUGCAUCUAAGCCAUUAAGUAUUACGCACUGAACUAUCACGUAGUCAUGAAAAAUGUGUAUGUCAGAUGUUCGCAACAUCCACAGACGACGCUUGAGGUGCAGCACACCGAGUGGUGCAUUAAGGACAUAAGCCUUCUACGCAGCAAUGAGGACAAUCCUCAGUUUUACGUACUCAGUCCGCAAAGUUACUACUAUCAUCUUUCAACUAAAUUUUCUCUAGGAACAUAUAAAAAAACAGUAGAGCUAUAGCGCAAGCUACAUCAUAAUUCGCAAAGACCUUUUGACCAUGCUCAUGAUAAUUAGUUCAAUUAAUCAUAUUACUUAAGAACUCCCACUCAAAAAAUACAUCCCUCUAGUCAUUUCAGUGGUGCAUGAUCCAAAUCCACUAACCCAAGUCCGAUCAUCACGUGAGUUGCGUAUAGUUUCAGUGGUAAACAUCUCUAUGCUAAUCAUAUCAACUAUAUGAUUCAUGCUCGACCUUUCGGUCUCUUGUGUUCCGAGGCCAUGUCUGCACAUGCUAAGCUCGUCAAGUUUAACCCGAGUGUUCCGCGUGUGCAACUGUUUUGCACCCGUUGUAUGCGAACGUUGAGUCUAUCACACCCGAUCAUCACGUGGUGUCUCGAAACGACGAACUGUCGCAACGGUGCAUAGUCGGGGAGAACACAAUUUUAUCUUGAAAUUUUAGUGAAGGAUCACGUUAUAAUGCUACCAUCGUUCUAAGAAAGAUAAGGUGCAUAAAAGGAUUAACAGCACAUGCAAUUCAUAAGUGACAUGAUAUGGCCAUGAUCUUGUGCUUCUUGAUCUCCAUCACCAAAGCACCGACAUGAUCUUCAUCGUCACCGGCACCACACCAUGAUCUCCACCAUCGUGCCGCCAUCGAGGUUGUCGUGCUAUAUACGCUAUCACUACUAAAGCUACAACCUAGCGAUAUAGUAAACGCAUAUGCAAACACAAACGUUAGUUUAAAGACAACCUUAUGGAUCCUGCCAGUUGCCGUAGCAUCGACGUGCAAGUCGAUAUUUAACUAUUACAAAAUGAUCAUCUCAUACAUCCAAUAUAUCACAUCAUGUCUUUGGCCAUAUCACAUCACAUGCAUACCCUGCAAAAACAAGUUAGACAUCCUCUAAUUUGUUGUUGCAUGUUUUACGUGGCUCCUAUGGGUAUCUAGUAUGAUCGCAUCUUACUUACGCAUAGCCACAACGGUAAUAUGCAAAUUGCUAUUUAACCUUUCUCCAAGGACCGCCUCGGUCAAAUCCGAUUCAACUAAAGUUGAAGAAACAGACACCCGCCAGUCAUCUUUAUGCAACAAGUUGCAUGUUAGUCGAUGAAACCGGUCUCUUGUAAGCGUACGAUUAAGGUUGGUUUGGGCCGCUUCAAUCCAACAAUACCGCCGAAUCGAGAAAAUACUAAGGAGGGCAGCAAAUUGAACAUCAAUGCCCACAAAAACUUGUUUGUUCUACUCGAGAUUACAUCUACGCAUGAACCUAGCUCAUGAUGCCACUAUUGGGGAACGUUUCAUGGGAAACUAAAAAAUUCCUACACACACGAAGACCUAUCAUGGUGAUGAUCAUCUACGAGAGGGAGAUCGGGUCCACAUACCCUUGUAGAUCGCUAAGUGGAAAUGUUAAGAAACGUGUAUGAUGUAGUGGUAUGUCUUCACGAUCCGUCCCACGAACCGUCUCACGAUCCGUCCCGAUCAAGUGUUGAACGGACGGCACCUCCGCGUUCCGCACACGUACAGCUCGAUGACGAUCUCCGCCUUCUUGAUCCAGCAAGAGGGGCGGAGAGGUAGAUGAGUUCUCCAGCAUGGCGAUGUGGUGGUGGUGUUGGUGGUGCUAUUCCAGCAGGGCUUCGCCUAAGCACCGCUGAAACUAGAGGAGAAACAGAUCUAGAGAGAGAGGGCAGCACGUGGCUGUUUCUGUUGUCCAAAAACCCUCAAAACCCUUAGUAUAUAUAGGAGGAGAGGAGGGAGAGGGUUGCGCCCUAGAGCAACCUUCUCUUCCCUUGCGCAAGGGAGAGGAGGAGGAGUCCUACUCCAAUCCUAUUUGGAGUAGGAUUCCUCCUUCCCACUUGGAAACUCUUUCCACCUUGUGUUUUUCCUUCUCAAACCUUAUGGGUCUUAGUGGGAACUUAUUCGAGCCCACUAGGGGAUGGUUUAUCUCUUGCCACAGCCCAUAAGGCCUCUUGGGGCGUGACACCCCUCCCGAUGGUCCCCGGCACACCUCCCGGCACUCCCGGUACACUACCGAUGAGCCCGAAACUUUUCCCGUGACCAAAACAGGACUCCCUAUAUAUCAAUCUUCAUUUCCGGACCAUUCUGGAAACCUUCGUGAUGUACGGGAUCUCAUCCGGCACUCUGAACAACCUUCGGUCACCAACACAUAUAACUUAACUAUACCGAAACAUCACCGAACUUUAAGUGUGUAGACCCUGCGGGUUCGAGAACUAUGUAGACAUGACCUGAGACACUCUUCGGUCAAUAACCAACGGCGGGACCUCGAUGUUCAUAUUGGCUCCUACAUAUUCUACGAAUAUCUCUAUCGGUUGAACCUCUAUGUCAAGGAUUAAUAUAAUCCCGUAUACUAUUCCCUUUGUCCUUCGGUAUGUUACUUGCCCGAGAUUCGAUCGUUGGUAUCUCCAUACCGAGUUCAAUCUCGUUACCGGCAAGUCUCUUUACUCGUUCCAUAAUACAAGAUCUCGUGACUAACUCCUUAGUCAUAUUGCUUGCAAGGCUUGUUGUGAUGUUGUAUUACCGAGUGGGCCCCCUAGAUACCACUCCGUCACAUGGAGUGACAAAUCACAGUCUUGAUCCAUGCCAACCUAAUAGACACCUUUGGAGAUACGUGUAGAGCACCUUUAUGGUCACCCAGUUAUGUUGUGACGUUUGAUACACACAAGGCAUUCCUCCGGUGUCCGGGAGUUGUGAUACGUCCAUUUUGCAUCAUGUUUUCAUGUUGAUAUUUAUUGCUUCUUGGGAUGUUAUAUUACUUGUGGUGCCAUAUUUAUGCCUUUUCGCUCUUAUUUUGCAAGGAUUAUUUGAAGAGGGAGAAUUCAGGCAGCUGGAAUUCUGGACUAGAAAAGGAGCAAAUCCUAGUCCACUAUUCUGCACAUCUCCAAAUGCCCUGAAAAUUUUCGUGGAUUUUUUCUAGAAUAUAUUAAAAAUACUGGGCGAAAGAACUACCAGAGGGGGCCACCAGGGCCCCACAAGCUUGCCCACCGCCGCCGCCCCCCUGGUGGCGCACGGCAGGCUUGUGGGCAGCCCACUGGCCCACUAGCCCCCCUCUUUUGCUAUAUGAUGCGUCCUGACCUGGAGAAAAUCAUACAGGAGCUUUUUCGUGGUUUCCCCGCCGCCACAGGGCGGAACUUGAGUAGAUCCAAUCUAGAGCUCCGGCAGGACGAUCUUGUCGGGGAAAUUUCCCUCCCGGAGGGGGGAAUCAUCACCAUCUUCAUCACCAACACUCCUCUCAGCGGAGGGGAGGCAUCUUCAUCAACAUCUUCAUCGGCACCAUCUCUUCUCCAAUCCCUAGUUCAUCUCUUGUAACCAAUCUUCGUCUCGCAACUCAGAUUAGUACUUGUAAGGUUGCUAGUAGUGUUGAUUACUCUUUGUAGUUGAUGCUUGUUGGAUUACUUGGUGGAAGAGUUUAUGUUCAGAUCCUUGAUGCUAUUCAUUACACCUCUGGUCAUGAUUAUGAUUAUAUCUUGUGAGUAGUUACUUUUGUUCCUAAGGACAUGGAAUAAGUCAUGCUGAUAAUAGUCAUGUGAAUUUGAUAUUCGUUCAGUAUUUUGAUAUGAUGUAUGUUGUUUUUCCUCUAGUGGUGUUAUGUGAACGUGGACUACAUAACACUUCACCAUAUUUGAGCCUAGAGGAAGGCAUUGUGAAGUAGUAAGUAGAUGAUGGGUUGCUGGAGUGACAGAAGCUUAAACCCCAGUUUAUGCGUUGCUUCGUGAGGGGAUGAUUUGGAUCCACUAGUUUAAUGCUAUGGUUAGACUUUGUCUUAAUUCUUCUUUUGUAGUUGCGGAUGCUUGCUAGAGAGGUUAAUCAUAAGUGGGAUGCUUGUCCAAGUAAGGUCAGUACCCAAGCGCCGGUCCACCCACAUAUCAAACUAUCAAAGUAACGAACGCGAAUCAUAUGAACAUGAUGAAACUAGCAUGACAGAAAUUCUCAUGUGUCCUCGGGAGCAUUUUUCCUCCUAUAUGACUUUGUUCAGGCUUGUCCCUUGCUACAAAAGGGAUUGGGCCACUUGCUGCACCGUUGCUACUACUUGUUAUUUGUUACUCUUUGCUUGCUACGUUUCACCUCGCUACACAAUCACUUGUUACCGCUACUUUCAGUGCUUGCAGUUAUUACCUUGCUGAAAUUCGUUUAUCACAGCCUUCUGCUCCUCGUUGGGUUCGACAAUCUUACUUAUAGAAAGGACUAUGAUUGAUCCCCUAUACUUGUGUUGGAAAUAUGCCCUAGAGGCAAUAAUAAAUUAGUUAUUAUUAUAUUUCUUUGUUCAUGAUAAUCGUUUCUUAUCCAUGCUAUAAUUGUAUUGAUUGGAAACACAGUGCAUGUGUGGAUACACAGACAAAACACAGUCCCUAGUAAGCCUCUAGUUGACUAGCUCGUUGAUCAAAGAUGGUCAAGGUUUCCUGACCAUAGGCAAGUGUUGUCACUUGAUAACGGGAUCACAUCAUUAGGAGAAUCAUGUGAUGGACUAGACCCAAACUAAUAAGACGUAGGAUGUUGAUCGUGUCAUUUUGUUGCUAUUGUUUUCUGCGUCUCAAGUAUUUGUUCCUAUGACCAUGAGAUCAUAUAACUCACUGACACCGGAGGAAUGCUUUGUGUGUAUCAAACGUUGCAACGUAACUGGGUGACUAUAAAGAUGCUCUAUAGGUAUCUCCGAAGGUGUUCGUUGAGAUAGUAUGGAUCGAGACUGGGAUUUGUCACUCCGUGUGACGGAGAGGUAUCUCGGGGCCCACUCGGUAAUACAACAUCACNNNNNNNNNNNNNNNNNNNNNNNNNNNNNNNNNNNNNNNNNNNNNNNNNNNNNNNNNNNNNNNNNNNNNNNNNNNNNNNNNNNNNNNNNNNNNNNNNNNNNNNNNNNNNNNNNNNGGUAAACGAGAUUGAAAUAGGUAUGCGGAUACUGACGAUCGAAUCUCGGGCAAGUAACAUACCGAAGUACAAAGGGAAUGACAUACGGGAUUAUAUGAAUCCUUGGCACCGAGGUUCAAACGAUAAGAUCUUCGUAGAAUAUGUAGGAUCCAAUAUGGGCAUCCAAGUCCCGCUAUUGGAUAUUGACCGAGGAGUCACUCGGGUCAUGUCUACAUAGUUCUCGAACCCGCAGGGUCUGUACACUUAAGGUUCGACGUUGUUUUAUGCGUAUUUGAGUUAUAUGGUUGGUUACCGAAUGUUGUUCGGAGUCCCGGAUGAGAUCACGGACAUCACGAGGGUUUCCGGAAUGGUCCGGAAACAAAGAUUGAUAUAUAGGAUGACCUCAUUUGAUUACCGGAAGGUUUUCGGAGUUACCGGGAAUAUACCGGGAAUGACGAAUGGGUUCCUCGGAAUGUACCAGGAAUGACGAAUGGGUUCCGGGUGUUCACCGGGGGGGCAACCCACCCCGGGGAAGCCCAUAGGCCUUGGGGGUGGCGCACCAGCCCUUAGUGGGCUGGUGGGACAGCCCAAUAAGGCCCUAUGCGCCAUAGGAAGAAAAUCAAAGAGAAAAAGGAAAAAAGAAAAGGGGAGGUGAGAAAAAGGGGAAGGACUCCACCUUCCAAACCUAGUUGGAUUCGGUUUGGAAGGGGAGGACUCCCCCCCUUGGCUCGACCGACCCCCAAGGCAAGGCCCCCCUCUCCCACCUAUAUAUACGGAGGUUUUAGGGUUGAUUUGAGACAACUUUGCCACGGCAGCCCGACCACAUACCACCAUGGUUUUACCUCUAGAUCGCGUUUCUGCGGAGCUCGGGUGGAGCCCUGCUGAGAUUAGAUCACCACCAAACUCCGGAGCGCCGUCAUGCUGCCCGAGAACUCAUCUACCUCUCCGUCUCUCUUGCUGGAUCAAGAAGGCCGAGAUCAUCGUCGAGCUGUACGUGUGCUGAACGCGGAGGUGCCGUCCGUUCGGCACUAGAUCGUGGGACGGAUCGCGGGACGGUUUGCGGGGCGGAUCGAGGGACGUGAGGACGUUCCACUACAUCAACCGCGUUUCUUAACGCUUCUGCUGUGCGAUCUACAAGGGUACAUAGAUCAAAUAUCCCCUCUCGUAGAUGGACAUCACCAUGAUAGGUCUUCGUGCGCGUAGGAAAAUUUUUGUUUCCCAUGCGACGUUCCCCAACAACUUGUGGGUCAUCAAGACUCUUUUCUGGCGCCGUUGCCGGGGAGUGAAGCGCCUUUGGUAAGUGGAAAUUGGUAAGGAAACAAUUUUAUACUGUGCUGAAAUUUAUUGUCACUUGUCACUAUGGAAACUCUUCCUUUGAGGAGUUUGUUCGGGGUAUCUUCACCAUGAACGGAAGCACGAGGAUUUGCUCCUCAACCUGAGGUACCUACUGAAAAUAUCUUUUAUAAAAUUCCUUUGGGUAUGCUUGAGAAAUUGCUGGCUAAUCCUUUUACAGGAGAUGGAUCUUCACAUCCAGACUUUCAUCUAAUCUAUGUAGAUGAAGUUUGUGGUUUAUUUAAGCUUGCAGGUUUGCCCGAGGAUGAGGUAAAGAAGAAACUCUUUCCUUUAUCUUUGAAGGAUAAGGCAUUGACAUGGUAUAGGCUAUGUGAUGAUACUGGAUCAUGCAGCUACAAUCGGUUGAAAUUGGAAUUUCAUCAAAAGUUCUAUCCCAUGCAUUUAGUAUAUCAUGAUCGGAACUUUAUUUAUAACUUUUGGCCUCGUGAUAGGGAAAGCAUAGCUCAAGCUUGGGGGAGGCUUAAAUCAAUGCUAUAUUCAUGCCCCAAUCAUGAGCUCUCGAGAGAAAUCAACACUCAAAACAUUUAUGCUCGGAUUUCUCAUGAAGAUCGUACCAUGCUUGAUACUUCUUGUGCCGGUUCUUUUAUGAAGAAGAAUAUUGAUCACAAGUGGAAUUUAUUGGAGAGAAUCAAACGCAACUCUGGAGAUUGGGAGCUGGAGGAAGGUAAGGACUCAGGUAUGAAUUUCUAUUUUGAUUGCGUUAAAUCUUUUGUUGAGACAAACACUUCUAGAGAGCGCUAAGUAUGGACUUGACUCUGAGAUAGUAGCUUCUCUUUGUAAAUCUUUUGCUGCUCAUGUUGAUCUUCCCAAAGAGAAGUGGUUUAAAUAUCAUCCUCCUGUAGAAAGCAACAUAGCCAAAACCAAUCUAGUUGAGGAGAAAAUCAUAGCUUUUAGUGAUCCUGUUGUUCCUUGUGCUUACACUGAGAAACCACCAUACCCUGCUAGGAUGAAGGAUUAUUCUAAAGCUCCAACUGUGAUACGUAGGGGUUACAUUAGACCACUUGCACCCCCUGAAGAGAUUAGAGUUGAACCUAGUGUUGCUAUUAUCAAAGAUCUCUUAGCCAAAGAGAUAGAUGGGCAUGUUAUCAAAUUCUGUGAGGACUCCGCUAGAAUUGCUAAACCUCACGCGAAAGACAAGCACGGACCUGUAGUUGGCCUGCCCGUUGUUUCUGUUAAGAUAGGAGAUCACUGUUACCAUGGUUUAUGUGAUAUGGGAGCUAGUGUUAGUGCAAUACCCCGUUCUCUAUAUGAUGAAAUCAAAGAUGAGAUUGCACCAGCUGAGAUAGAACCCAUUGAUGUCACUAUCACGCUAGCUAAUAGAGACACUAUAUGCCCUUUGGGAAUUGUGAGAGAUGUAGAAGUCCUGUGUGGUAAGACGAAGUAUCCUACUGAUUUCCUCGUCCUUGGUACUACACAAGAUAGCUUUUGUCCCAUCAUAUUCGGUAGACCCUUUCUCAACACUAUCAAUGCUCACAUUGAUUGCAUUAAGCAGACUGUCAUAGUAAGUUUCGAGGGUGUGUCUCAUGAAUUUAACUUCUCCAAGUUUGGAAGACAACCCCAUGAAAGAGAUUCAUCUGGUAGGGAUGAAAUCAUUGCUCUUUCCUCUAUUGCCAUACCUCCUACGAAUCCUUUAGAGCAAUAUCUGCUUGAGCAUGAAAAUGAUAUGCAUACGGAGGAGAGAGAUGAGAUAGAUAGAAUUGUCUUAGAACAAUGUCCUAUUCUCAAGAAUAAUCUGCAUGUUGAACUGCUUGGGGAUCCUCCCCCACCAAAGGGUGAUCCUGUGUUCGAGCUUAAACAGUUGCCUGAUACUCUUAAGUAUGCCUAUCUUGAUGAGAAGGAGAUAUAUCCUGUCAUUAUUAGUGCUCUCCUCUCAGAGCGUGAAGAGAAGAAGUUACUAAAAACUCUGAGGAAGCACCGCGCUGCUAUUGGAUAUACUCUUGAUGAUCUUAAGGGUAUUAGUCCUACUCUAUGUCAGCACAAGAUUAAAACCGAUCCUGACUUUAAACCAGUUGCUGAUCAUCAAAGGAGAUUAAAUCCUAAGAUGAAAGAGGUCGUUAGAAAAGAAAUAUUAAAGCUUCUGGAAGCAGGAAUCAUUUAUCCUAUUGCUCAUAGUGAUUGGGUAAGUCCAGUACAUUGCGUACCUAAGAAGGGAGGUAUCACCGUCGUUCCUAAUGAUAAGGAUGAACUAAUCCCACAAAGGAUUAUUACCGGCUAUAGAAUGGUGAUAGACUUCCGGAAACUGAACAAGGCAACCAGGAAAGAUCAUUAUCCUUUGCCGUUCAUCGACCAAAUGCUAGAAAGGCUAUCAAAGCACACACACUUUUGCUUUCUAGACGGUUAUUCAGGUUUCUCGCAAAUACCUGUUGCAUAAUUUGAUCAAGAGAAAACCACCUUCACCUGCCCUUUCGAUACCUUUGCCUAUAGAUGUAUGCCUUUUGGCUUAUGUAAUGCACCUGCCACCUUUCAAAGAUGUAUGAUGGCUAUAUUCUCUGACUUUUGUGAAAAGAUUGUCGAGGUUUUCAUGGAUGACUUCUCCAUUUACGGGUCUUCCUUUGAUGAUUGCCUCAGCAACCUUGAUCGAAUCUUACAGAGAUGCGAAUAAACCAACCUCGUCUUGAAUUGGGAGAAGUGCCACUUUAUGGUUAAUGAAGGUAUCGUCUUAGGACACAAAAUCUCUGAAAGAGGCAUUGAAGUUGAUAAGGCUAAGGUUGAUGCAAUUGAGAAAAUGCCUUGCCCCACAGAUAUCAGAGGUAUACGAAGUUUCCUAGGUCAUGCUGAUUUCUAUAGAAGGUUCAUUAAAGACUUCUCUAAGAUUUCUAGGCCUCUUACCAACCUCUUGCAGAAGGAUGUUCCUUUUGUUUUUGAUGAGGAUUGUGAGGAAGCCUUCGAAAUACUUAAGAAGGCUUUGAUAACCGCACCUAUUGUUCAACCACCUGACUGGAACUUUCCCUUUGAAAUCAUGUGUGACGCUAGUGAUUAUGCUGUUGGUGUUGUUCUAGGACAAAGAGUUGACAAGAAGUUGAAUGUCAUUCACUACGCUAGUAAAACUCUAGACAGUGCCCAAAGGAACUAUGCCACUACGGAGAAGGAAUUUUUAGCACUCGUGUUUGCAUGUGAAAAAAUCAGAUCUAACAUAGUUGACUCCAAGGUCACUAUUCACUCUGAUCAUGCUCCUAUUAAGUACCUUAUGGAGAAGAAGGACGCUAAGCCUAGGCUUAUCAGAUGGGUUCUCCUGCUACAGGAAUUUGAUUUGCACGUCAUUGACCGAAAGGGUGCUGAUAACCCUGUAGCAGAUAACUUGUCUAGGCUAGAGAAUGUCCUUGAUGACCCACUACCAAUUGAUGACAGCUUUCCUGAUGACCAAUUAAAUGUCAUCCGCACUUCACUUAGUGCACCAUGGUAUGCCGAUUAUGCAAACUAUAUCGUAGCCAAAUACAUACCACCCAGUUUCACCUAUCAACAAAAGAAGAAAUUCUUCUUUGAUUUGAGACACUACUUUUGGGAUGAUCCUCACCUUUAUAAGGAAGGAGUAGAUGGUGUUAUUAGACGUUGUGUGCCUGAACAUGAACAGGGACAGAUCCUGCAGAAGUGUCAUUCCGAAGCCUACGGAGGACACCACGCUGGAGAUAGAACUGCCCAUGAGGUAUUGCAAUCAGGUUUCUAUUGGCCCACUCUCUUCAAGGAUGCUCGUAAGUUUGUCUUGUCUUGUGACAAAUGCCCAAGGAUAGGGAACAUCAGUAAGCGUCACAAGAUGCCUAUGAACUAUUCACUUGUCAUUGAACCAUUUGAUGUCUGGGGCUUUGAUUAUAUGGGACCCUUCCCGAGUUCCAGUGGGUACACUCACAUCUUAGUUGUUGUGGAUUACGUUACUAAGUGGGUAGAAGCUAUCCCCACUAAAAAUGCUGAUCACCACAACUCUAUUAAGAUGCUUAAAGAAGUUAUAUUCCCAAGAUUUGGAGUCCCUAGAUACUUGAUGACUGAUGGCGGUUCACACUUCAUUCAUGGUGUUUUCCGCAAGAUGCUAGCUAAGUAUGAUGUCAACCAUAGAGUUGCAUCUCCUUAUCAUCCUCAGUCUAGUGGUCAAUUGGAGUUGAGUAAUAGGGAGAUCAAGUUGAUCUUACAAAAGACCGUCAAUAGAUCCCGAAAGAACUGGUCUAGCAAACUUGACGAUGCACUAUGGGCUUAUAGGACUGCUUAUAAAAAUCCCAUGGGCAUGUCACCGUAUAAAAUGGUUUACGGUAAGGCCUGUCAUUUACCUCUUGAGUUGGAACACAAAGCUUAUUGGGCAAUCAAAGAGCUCAACUUUGAUUUCAAACUUGCCAGUGAGAAGCGGUUGUUUGAUAUCAGCUUGUUGGAUGAAUGGAGAGCCCAGGCAUAUGAGAAUACCACGUCGUCAAGGAAAAGGUUAAGAGAUGGCACGACAAACGAAUACAGAAACGAGAGUUCAAUGUAGGUGAUUAUGUCUUGCUAUACAAUUCUCGUUUGAGAUUCUUUGGAGGCAAGCUUCUCUCUAAAUGGGAAGGUCCCUACGUUGUCGAGGAAGUAUAUCGUUCCGGUGCCAUCAAAAUCAAUAAUACAAGGAAAUUUUCCUAGAGUGGUAAAUGGGCAAAGAAUCAAGCAUUACAUCUCUGGUACUCCCAUAAAUGUUGAGACCAAUAUCAUCAAUGUCAUAACUCCACAGGAGUACAUAAGGGAUGUUUAUCAGCCUGUUUCAGACCUUGAAAACGAAGAUGUAUCUGUUUCGGCAAGAAAUUGGACUCCGAUACUUUUCCAAUAGGAAAUUUCCUCAGUUUUGGAAUUUUUGGAAAAUUAGAAAAAUAAAAAAGCAGUCCGGAGAGCAAACGAGGAAGCCACAAGGGCCCACUCCGCCACCACCCCCUGGUGGCGGUGGGCAAGCUUGUGGGCACCUUGUGUGCCUCCCGGACUCCGUUUUCUUGCAGAGGACUCCUUCUGGCCCAGAAAAAAUCAAUAUAUAGUUGCCCGAAGGUUUUGAUCUUCAUAUCGCGUAGUUUUCCUCUGUUUUCGUUUCGAGCUUGUUUCUGCCGCAGAUCUAGAUCAUCAUGACUUCCCCAAACGCUCCUAAGGACAAGAUCUUGGAGAAGGUCAUCAAUCCCUACCUCACGGAAGUGCUAAAACACCAUCAAUCUAUCAAGAUGAGCGAGGGGAUGUUGCACAUCCGUGAUGUUGAGGGGCCUAAGAAGACCGGAAGCAUGGAGACGAGGCUCGAAGUAGUGGAGCAACAAGUCUUCAUGUGCCAAGGGAUGGUUGAGCGUGGACUCAACGCCAACCACACGAUGAUCACGGAGUUCACUAGCAAUCACAAGAUGGAUGUCAUUGAUAUCGGGAAACACCUCUCCAGACUUUACGAUAGGGUUGACCAACUUCAGGGCCAAAUCUAUGACCUGCAGAAUCAAAACUGUGAGUAUGGGUAUAGAUUUAAAUCAAUAAGGUUGGCUGCAGAUUUGAGGAUUUCGGCUACUCGUUCAUCCUGCCAUGAUGGAGCACCUAUGCCUUGGAAGACGGAGGAUCAGACUACUCCAACAACACCACCAUCAUCACCAAAGGAAGACAACUAAGCAUUGGUAUGGGCAAUCCCCUUGGCUUCUGCCGAGCUUGGGGGAGUUGCCCUGGUAUCAUAUCACCUUUAUAUCUUUUGCUUUUACCUUUGUUUUAGUUCUUUCCCUUUCAGUUUUUAUUUCUUCUUUUAGAGGAAUAAGUCUUUAGUUUUUAGUUUGAGUCUUUUGCUUUUGGUCUCUCCCCCGAUGUAUUCGAGCUUACGAGCUAUAUAAUAAAGAGUGUCUUAGUCAAAGGGCUUUGCUUUGUGCCAUGAUCAAAAGUAUGAAAAGAACGAUAGCAUGAAAGAUCAUGAGACGAUCUUAUGGAAAGUGAUAACUUCACUUAUGACACGUAUGAUGAUUGAAACUUGUCGAGAAUAAAUCAACACAUACCUCAGUCAUUGUUGCAAUUAAUAAGAAGUAAUAAGGAAAGAGAGGUUCACAUAUAAAUAUAUCAUCUUAGACACUUUCUACAAUUGUGAGCACUCACCAAACUAUUACAUGCCUAGGAGUAGAUGUUGGACAAGGAAGACAACAUAAUGAAUUGUGUUUGCUUGGUUCCAAACAAUGUUAUAUGAUUAGAGAUCCCUUAGCAUGUGACGAUUGCUUCCACCUCAUAUUAGCCAAAACUUCCGCACCAAGUAGAGAUACUACUUGUGCAUCCAUAAACCUUCAACCCAGUUUUGCCAUGAGAGUCCACCAUACCUACCUAUGGAUUGAAUAAGAUCCUUCAAGUAAGUUGUCAUCGGUGCAAGCAAUAAAAAUUGCUCUCUAAUAUGUAUGAUCUAUUAGUGUGUGGAAAAUAAGCUUUGUACGAACCUGUGAUGAGGAAGACAUAAAAGCGACAGACUGCAUAAUAAAGUUCUUUGUCACAGGAGGCAAUAUAAAGUGACGUUCCUCCGCACUAAGAGGACACGCAUUCAAACCUCAAAAGUGCAUGACAACCUCUGCUUCCCUCUGCGAAGGGCCUAUCUUGUACCUUUACUUUUACCCUUGUAAGAGUCAUGGUGAUCAUCACCAAUUCCCUUUUUGCCUUCGUCUUGGCUACCGUCACAUGCUUGGAAAAGAUCUAUAUUCAUAUAUCAACUUGGAGUUGAGUACUCAUGCUUUAUUGUUGUUGACUUUACCCUUGAGGUAAACCGUUGGGAGGAAAAACUAUAAGCCCCCAUCUUCCUCUGUGUCGAGCUGAAGCUUUGACACCAUGAGUACCACGUGAGCUAUAAAAAUUGUGGAAAACAAAAGAGAUGAUUGAGUAUGUGGGUUUGCCUUACAAGCUCUUAUUUGACUCUUUCUGAUGUUGUGAUAAAUUGCAAUUGCUUCAAUGAUUAUGGACUAUUGUUGGUUACUUCUCGGUAAGGUUUUUGCUUCAUGCUUUGCUUUGUGAAGGAAUUGUUACUUUCCCAUAAGAAUCUUUAUAUAUAUUGUUGUUCUAUGUGUGAUCAUGAUGCCCUCAUGUCUGUAUUAUGUUUUAUCGACACCUUCGUCCCUCAACAUGUGGACGUGUUUAUGGAACUUGGUUUUCGCUUGAGGACAAGCGAGGUCUAAGCUUGGGGGAGUUGAUACGUCCAUUUUGCAUCAUGUUUUCAUGUUGAUAUUUAUUGCUUCUUGGGAUGUUAUAUUACUUGUGGUGCCAUAUUUAUGCCUUUUCGCUCUUAUUUUGCAAGGAUUAUUUGAAGAGGGAGAAUUCAGGCAGCUGGAAUUCUGGACUAGAAAAGGAGCAAAUCCUAGUCCACUAUUCUGCACAUCUCCAAAUGCCCUGAAAAUUUACGUGGAUUUUUUCUGGAAUAUAUUAAAAAUACUGGGCGAAAGAACUACUGGAGGGGGGCCACCAGGGCCCCACAAGCUUGCCCACCACCACCACCCCCUGGUGGCGCACGGUAGGCUUGUGGGCAGCCCACUAGCCCACUAGCCCCCCUCUUUUGCUAUAUGAUGCGUCCUGACCUGGAAAAAAUCAUACAGGAGCUUUUUCGUGGUUUCGCCGCCACCACGGGGCGGAACUUGAGCAGAUCCAAUCUAGAGCUCUGGCAGGACAAUCCUGCCGGGGAAAUUUCCCUCCCGGAGGGGGGAAUCGUCGCCAUCUUCAUCACCAACACUCCUCUCGUCGGAGGGGAGGCAUCUUCAUCAACAUCUUCAUCAGCACCAUCUCUUCUCCAAUCCCUAGUUCAUCUCUUGUAACCAAUCUUCAUCUCGCAACUCAAAUUGGUACUUGUAAGGUUGCUAGUAGUGUUGAUUACUCUUUGUACUUGAUGCUUGUUGGAUUACUUGGUGGAAGAUUUUAUGUUCAGAUCCUUGAUGCUAUUCAUUACACCUCUGGUCAUGAUUAUGAUUAUGUCUUGUGAGUAGUUACUUUUGUUCCUGAGGACAUGGAAUAAGUCAUGCUGAUAAUAGUCAUGUGAAUUUGAUAUUCGUUCGGUAUUUUGAUAUGAUGUAUGUUGUUUUUCCUCUAGUGGUGUUAUGUGAAUGUCAACUACAUAACACUUCACCAUAUUUGGGUCUAGAGGAAGGCAUUGGAAAGUAGUAAGUAGAUGAUGGGUUGCUGGAGUGACAGAAGCUUGAACCCCAGUUUAUGCGCUACUUCGUGAGGGGUUGAUUUGGAUCCACUAGUUUAAUGCUAUGGUUAGACUUUGUCUUAAUUCUUCUUUUGUAGUUGCGGAUGCUUGCGAGAUAGGUUAAUCAUAAGUGGGAUGCUUGUCCAAGUAAGGGCAGUACCCAAGUGCCGGUCCACCCACAUAUCAAACUAUCAAAGUAACGAAUGCGAAUCAUAUGAACAUGAUGAAACUAGUAUGACAGAAAUUCCCGUGUGUCCUCGGGAGCGUUUUCCUCCUAUAAGACUUUGUUCAGGCUUGUCCCUUGCUACAAAAGGGAUUGGGCCACUUGCUGCACCGUUGCUACUACUUGUUACUUGUUACUCUUUGCUUGCUACGUUUCACCUCGCUACACAAUCACUUGUUACCGCUACUUUCAGUGCUUGCAGUUAUUACCUUGCUGAAAUCCGUUUAUCAGAGCCUUUUGCUCCUCGUUGGGUUCGACACUCUUACUUAUCGAAAUGACUACGAUUGAUCCCCUAUACUUGUGGGUCAUCAAGUUGCGUGAUCACAUGGUCAUAGGAACAGAAACAUUGACAUGCAGAAAAAUAGUAGCAAUAAACUGACACGAUCAUAUGCUACAUUUAUAGUUCGGUUCUUGUCCAUCACAUCAUUCUCCCAAUGAUGUGAUCCCGUCAUCAAGUGACAACACUUGCCUAUGGCCAGGAAACCUUGACCAUCUUUGAUCAACGAGCUAGUCAACUAGAGGCUCACUAGGGACAGUGGGUUGUCUAUGUAUCCACACAUGUAUUUGAGUUUCCAAUCAAUACAAUUCUAGCAUGGAUAAAUAAAUGAUUAUUACGAACAAGGAAAUAUAAUAAUAACCAAUUUAUUAUUGCCUCUAGGGCAUAUUUCCAACAAUUUCUAUGUAAAAGGUGCGGAUAGUACCUCAUUCUCGUCUAUCCCAAGCUGAGGUAUGUCACCGACCCUAUGCUCAUCCAUGCAUACAAAAUUAUCCACUGGAGCCCUGAAUAAUUUUUUAUAGUAUUCAAAGAUAUAUUGUUUGAGAUUCUCAUGUCCCACAAUUGUACCCUCAUCUUGUUCUAGCUGGAUAAUUUUUUUAUUCCUAUGCUUUCCAUUAGCUAUUAGAUGGAAAUGUUGUGUGUUGUCAUCUCCUUGUACCACUUGGAGGACUUUCGCUCUUAGUGCCCACUUCAACUCCUCCUCUCUGAGUAGUUGUUUGAGCUUUAGUUCAGCCUCCAUUUUUCAAUGACCUCUCAUUGUCACCUAAUAACGUUUGUUCGGCUUUUAUGUCUAGUGUGUUUAUAAGUUUAUAAGUUCGACAAGCCUUUGUUUCUUUUUCUUAUAAAUUACACUAUCGUGCUUUUCCCAACCCCUUAAGAAUUGCCUCAGGUGUCUUAUCUUAUUUUGCCACCUGUCAACAUUCGAGUCACCUUCUGUGAAAUAGCCCAUUCUCAAACCCGUCCCUUUCAAACCAUCCCAAUUCGAAAGAAAAAAGGUUUUUAUUUCCCACAUGUGUUGCUUCUCGCGAGUCUACAAACAGUGGGGUAUGAUCAGAGAUAGCUCUUGGUAACUCUCAAACUGUGACGAGAGGGAAUUUCUGCUCCCAUUCCACACUCAUGAGAACCCGGUCCAACUUCUCAAAAGUUGGGUUAGGUAAAGAGUUUGCCCAAGUAAACUUUCUCCCUGAUAGCUCAAUCUCCCACAAAUUAAGGCUCUCGAUGAUUGAAUUAAACAUAAAUGACCAUCUUCCAUCAAAGUUAUCACUGUUUUUCUCAUCCUGCCUCCAGAUUAUAUUAAAAUCGCCCCCUACUAAAAUCGGCAGUCUCUCGUCCCCGCAGAUUCGGACAAGGUCAGCCAAGAAAUCUCUCUUGAACUCAGGCUGGGCCGCCCCAUGCACAUCUACGAGUGCCCAUUGGAACCCGUCAUCUUUGGAGCGAACUCAAAAUUUGACUGCAAAGUCUCCAUACACCACUUUCGUAGUUGUGGUGUCUCGCACCGAACCCCAAGCAAGAUCCCACCUGAUCUUCCUCUUGGAGGUAGACAAUGCCAGUCAAAUUCAGAACCUCCAUACAACGUGUUUAAAAACGAAGCUAUAUAGUUAUCUCUCCCAGUUUCCAUCAAUGCAACGAAAUCCAAUUUGUGCUCAAUAGUUGUUUCAGCUAGGAAUCUUCUUUUAGCCAAGUCUGCUAGACCUCUGCUAUUCCAAAAUGUUCCUUUCAUCGCUCAUCAUGAAAUUUCUUAGCCGUUUUAAAUCUAGCACUACGACGCACAGCUGAAACAGGAUAGACUUUUCUCUUCCAGGUUCUUUUUGGCCUAUCCUGAACCUCCGACCGAUCCACAUAACCGUUGGACUCUUGUGCGUUAGCAUUCGUUUGUGGAGGAGCCUCAUACCCCUCCUGAACGAUAUCAUUUGUGUCUUCAAGCAAAAGGGGGGUGGCACAAGAUCCUCACAUAAACGCUCUAAGGCUCCCAAACCCAAUGCAUUUAUAUCAGAAUCAUUCAUAGGUUUUACGGCUGCAAUUUUUCUGACCAUCUCAAUUGCCCUCUCUGCCUCUAAGUCUAACAUGUCAUUUACCGAUCUAGAUAUCUCCUGGUCUACCAAACGCUAGAAUAAGGCCUAGUAACGGGCCCGACCCAUGCCAUUUUGGCCCAUGACUGCAACCAAACACACCCUUAAGUAACUUCUACAAUAUCCAUCCCCAACUUCCAGAAAUUCUAACACUUAAAAAAUCAAAAUCAAACUAUUGGCAUUUAAAACUUUCAUACAUUUCAUUUCUGAAAAAAAUGGUCUUUUAGAUUUCGAAAUAUCAGUAUUAUAUUUUUUACAAAAUUUAACUUUAAGAAUUUUCAAAAUUAUAAGGAUUCAAAAUUCAAAUGUUUUAGCACUUAAAAAAAUUCAAACUUUAAAAAAAUUGAACUUUCAAAUGUUUUGAAUUUUAAGAAGUGUGAACUUUCAUUUUUUUAUAAAGGAUGGGUUUUAUUUACUCAAAAUAAAGCAUCAAGAGCAUACAAAUACAAUAAGAACACACCCGGCCACUUUAUAACUAGGAUGCACACAACCAACUCAAACUCACACACACAAAAAUACGAUCGGUAAAUAGCAAAGUCAUAUAAGACCAAAGCUAUGUGCGCGGUUGGAAAAAGAAACCAAAGCGACCAUAUUGGCAAUGGACAAACUACAACAAUGACCAUAUCUGCACCAACAAUUUCAUUACACCACACGGACAACGAGGUUCCUCAACAAUGACACCUUCAGAAAGGGAGCGACGCUCAAAUGCCGCUAUCAUCGGAUCCAACCAUCCAAGGUCAGAUGCAAGAUUUUCACUCUGAGAAUCAGUCCAAGCAUGUCCGAGCAAUUCCUUCAAUAAGGUAAUGGCGUAAAAACAUCGCCAUUGCCAGGUACAGCCAACUCGAGUUGGACCUAGGCUUUCACCCGGGAGCUCAAGACCGGGUGCUCGAGAAGCACCACCAUCGAAGUCACUAUGUGUUGUUGCCACUACUUUUCCACAAUCUCAGUAGCUAUAUGCGAUGUGUGACCGCUGAUGCUGCACAACCAUCCCUCUACAUCAAGCCAUCAUCAAUAGUUUCAAUCUCACCGUUGAAGUCAACCAUCGGAUCUCCAAGAUCAAUCAUGAAGACCUUUUGAUGGAUACUACAUCAAUCCGCCGCGAGACCGCCACCGUAGUCAUGGUGGUCACCACACGUUCGUCGUCACGCCCCUAGCAGACCUAAAGGUCCACACCAAGGAACCACGGGUCCACACGCAUGGAGCCAUGGAUGUGUGUGUGGAUCAUGAAACGACCAAUCCAUGGCCAUGGCCAUUAGAUGAGACUAUCCCUGGCUGAUGGCAGGUGUCCAAGCCCUGCCGACAUGGCCACUACACCAUGGGCGCCAUCCCACAUGAAGGAGCCACCAGGCGGAGCAGCGACCACAAGUGAGGCGAGAUCUACACCAGCAAUGGCUGGAUCAUCCAGGUAACUGUCCGCUGGAUCUGUGGUGACAUCGUUGGAGGAAGCACGGGGUAGAGAGUGUGAAUCUGGGUUGGGGGAGAGGGGAAGGUCGGGGAAGAAGAUCCCUGUGGCGGUUGAGUCCCGCCGCCGCUGACAAACUGUCAUCGAUGAUGACGACGAGGAUGGAACAUCGGAGGCGGCCUCGAGUGCUAGGGUUUCUCGCCCCCGGUGUCGCCCUGGAGCAACACGGGAGGCCGAUGGCGAUUUCAUAGGAGAGAGAGAGAGAAGGUUGAGAAAUAGAAUCACAUGGUUGGGCAUGUGAGGAAAGAGAGAGAUGGAAAGAAGCACAUGGAUGAGGCCCCCUCGUCCUAUCUACCACAUGGUAACCUGACACAGUCACAUGCAAUGCUUGCGGCAAUGACCAUGGGCACAGUUCCCACAAGAGAGCAUUCUUAGAGUAAUAGCGAGUCUCAUCCUCAUGUUGGAUGCCUAUAUAAAGCUUCUCCUUUCCAACAUUCAUCAUACGAAUUGGCCAAAAUUUCUUUCUCAUUUGUGAUCUUUCAUCACAUUCAACUUUCCUUUGUAUAUAUUGUUGCUAAGCUUCAAAUUCUAAUCAGCUGGAGCUAAGCAAUGAAUUCUUCAUGCCAUCGAGCAUUCCUCGUGAGGAACAUCUUUUGUACUUUGGAAUGAGUGGUAUCGAGAAAUUAGUCAGGACGACUUUCUGAGGCUGAGGCGCCGCUUUUUUCUGUUCUCGUCUCUGAGACGUUGAGGUGGUAGACAUUUAUGAUAAGUGCAUUUCUUGUUGAGAAUAGCAUCGAUAAUCAUGUCUAGUCUAACAACUUGCUCAUUUAGGACUACCCUGGACAGUGCAACAAGUAAAAUACCAAAUCCUUGUACAAAAACAAGUUGUUGCCCUGUGGUGAGGAGUUGAAGCUAUGGCAUGAACUCGUCCAUGUGUGCGGUAUUUCUCCUUGUUGUUUCCAUCGUCUCUAGAAAUCGCUAAAAAGAUCAAAAACAAUAUCAAACCGUUGACACUAUGUGUCUACCAUCUCACACAAAUUCGAACCCAUAUCCAUCGCAGAUCUCCAAAAACAAACAAACAAGACGGAUCCAGUGUUGAACAGCAUAGCAACUAAUUCAAAUCAGCACAUGAACACAUCAUAUCAUCAGCACCAACACAAGAUUGUUUUUUUUUCUCUUUUCUUCAAACAAUAUCCUGAUUAAGGUUUAAAUAUUCUUGUGGCGUUGUAAAUACAUGUUGUGUGUCAGAGACAUAAUUCUUUUUCAAAUAAAAAAACAUAACUUUUUUUACCACAAAUUUUUCUAGGCUUAUGUGUGUGUAUCUUCCUUGUUUCAGUUCCAAGUGACAAGAGGCAAACUUGUCACGGUUGACUGAAUAGAACAGUAGCAAUCGACCUGCCCGGAGCUUCUAUUUUUUGUAGGUGAUUUUCUCUGUUAAGAGUGACUUCUUCUUUUUUGAGAGUUUUGUUAAGAGUGACAUGAAAUCUGCAUAUGGCGAUCGAGCACGCAUGCCGGCGAUCCCACACGGCGCACCGCAGCCACAAGCCGAUCGCCCCCACAAAAUCUGCCCGACGGCUCCCACCGGGAUGGGAUUCCCCGGUGCCAAUGGCGCGCGCCCACCUCACCCCCUCUUAUCCCCGCCUCACCCACUCGCGCCACGCCCCUUAUCCCCUCCUCUUACAAACCCACACAAACUAAUCAUCGCCCACCACCCUCCAACGAUCACCAACCAAAACCCCUCCACACGCCCGCCCGCGCGCGCCACGGACGCAGCAAUGGCCGCCCUCGCCGCCUCCAUCGCCACCUCCACGGCGUUCGCCGCGAAGCCGCGCCUGUCCCGCCCGCCGGCGCGCCUCUCCGUCUCCUGCUCCGCGUCCAGCGGCGACAACAACAACAGCACCGCCACCCCCUCGCUCUCCGCCUCCAUCAAGACCUUCUCGGCCGCGCUGGCGCUCUCCUCCGUGCUCCUCUCCUCCGCCGCCACCUCCCCGCCCCCCGCGGCUGCCGACAUCGCCGGCCUGACCCCGUGCAAGGAGUCCAAGGCCUUCGCCAAGCGGGAGAAGCAGUCGGUCAAGAAGCUCAACUCGUCGCUCAAGAAGUACGCGCCCGACUCCGCCCCGGCGCUCGCCAUCCAGGCCACCAUCGACAAGACCAAGCGCCGGUUCGAGAACUACGGCAAGUUCGGCCUGCUCUGCGGCUCCGACGGCCUGCCCCACCUCAUCGUCAGCGGCGACCAGCGGCACUGGGGCGAGUUCAUCACCCCCGGCGUGCUCUUCCUCUACAUCGCCGGCUGGAUCGGCUGGGUCGGACGCAGCUACCUCAUCGCCGUCAGCGGCGAGAAGAAGCCCGCCAUGAGGGAGAUCAUCAUCGACGUCGAG
rnacentral:lncRNA from 1 species